rnacentral:misc_RNA from 1 species
UAUAUAUAUAUAUAUAUACACAUUGGAGGGAUCAACCUUUUAGCACAUUUACAUGGUCAUGGGUUCUUGAUUUUGUUGUUGUUGCUGUUUAAUUUUGGGAAUUUAUGGACUUAUAGACUAGAUUUUUCCUGUCAGAGAUUUCUGAUUUAAUAACUGAAUUUCGAAUCUUUGUUAGUCCAUUUUGUGUUCUGGGUUUUGGUUGGUG